GACUGCGAGAAGGGCGCCUGAGAGAUAGCGACUAUUCCACGGGUAGCAGCAGGGGGAACUUCCCACUCGAGACUUUCGAGAGUAUGACCAGUCCAUUGGUGCUUUGUACUGUGGAUAGGGGUACGGUUUUCACGUACCGAAACUAGCAGAGGGCCAGUCUGGUGCCAGCAGCUGCGGUAAUUCCAGCUCUGCGAGUUUGCUCCCAUAUUGUUGCAGUUAAAACGCCUGUAGUCUGAAUUGGCCAGCAAUGGUCGUACGUAUUUUUACGUUCACUGUGAACAAAUCAGGACGCUUAGAGUAUGGCCACAUGAAUGACUCAGCGCAGUAUGAAGUCUUUGUUUUCUUCCGAAAACAAGCUCAAUGAGAGCCAUCGGGGGUAGAUCUAUCUCAUGACGAGUGGUGGAAUACUUUGACUCAUGAGAGAGAAGCUGAGGCGAAGGCGUCUACCUAGAGGGUUUCUGUCGAUCAAGGGCGAGAGUAGGAGUAUCCAACAGGAUUAGAGACCCUGGUAGUUCCUACCUUAAACGAUGCCGACAGGAGUUUGUCAUUUGUUAAUGGCAGAAUCUUUGGAGAAAUCAUAGUUCUUGGGCUCUGGGGGAACUACGACCGCAAGGCUGAAACUUGAAGGAAUUGACGGAAGGGCACACCAGGGGUGGAGCCUGUGGCUUAAUUUGAAUCAACACGGGGAAACUUACCAGGACCAGAUGUUUUUUAUGACUGACAGGCUUCGGGUCUUUCAGGAUAUUGUUUUUGGUGGUGCAUGGCCGUUGGUGGUGCGUGGGUUGACCUGUCUAGCGUUGAUUCAGCUAACGAGCGAGAUUAUCGCCAAUUAUUUACUUUGCCGAAGUCCUUCGGUUAAAGUUCUAAUUGGGACUCCCUGCGAUUUUAGCAGGUGGAAGAGGGUAGCAAUAACAGGUCCGUGAUGCCCUUUAGAUGCUCUGGGCUGCACGCGUGCUACAAUGUUAGGAUCAAUAGGACUGCGAGCCUGAGAGGGUGCGCUACUCUUAUAAUCCCUAACGUAGUUGGGAUUGACGUUUGUAAUCAGCGUCAUGAACCAGGAAUCCCUUGUAAAUGUGUGUCAACAACGCACGUUGAAUACGUCCCUGCCCUUUGUACACACCGCCCGUCGCUCCUACCGAUUGGAUGACUCGGUGAAAUCACCGGAUGCUACGAGCAGA
rfam:Trichomonas vaginalis G3, whole genome shotgun sequence.